rnacentral:rRNA from 1 species
CGUGCGGCGGCUACACAUGCAGUCGAGCGGCUGACAGUAGGAGCUUGCUCUUAUGGGUGGCGAGUGGCGGACGGGGGCGGAAUACAUCCCAAUCUACCUUUUCCAGCGGGACAACGGGAGGAAACUUACCCUAAUCCCCCUUCCGACCAAAGGGUGAAAGCAUGGGACCUUCCGGCCUUGCACGAAUCGAUGACCCAAUGUCUGAUUAGCUAGGUGGCGGGGUAAAGGCCCACCAAUGCGACAAUGCUUUGAUGGGAUGAGAGGAUGAUCUGCCACUCUGGAACUGACACAACUCCCACACUCCGACGGGAGGGGGAAUUGGGGAAUAUGGGACAAUGGGUGAUAGCCUGAUCCCGCCAUACCGAGUGGGGGAAUAAGGUCUUCAGGUUGUUAAGCCCUUUUGGAAGGAAAGAAAAGCAAUCCGCUAAUACCCUGAUGUUCCCACCGUACCCAAAGAAUAAGCACCGGCUAACUUCGUGCCCGCAGCCGCGGAAAUACGAAGGGUGCAUCCGUUACUCUGAAUUACUGGGCGUAAAGCGUGCGUAGGUGGUUGUUUAAGUCUGUUCCGAAAGCCCUGGGCUCAACCUGGGAAUUGCAUGGGAUACUGGGCGACUAGAGAGGGGGAGAGAGUAGUGGAAUUCCCGGUGUAACGCUGAAAUGCGUAGAGAUCCAGAGGAACAUCCAUGGAGAACGCGGCUACCUGCAGCCACACUGACACUGAGGCACGAAAGCGUGGGGAGGAACAAGGAUUAUAUAACCUCGUAGUACUCGCCCUAAAAGAUGCGAUCAGGAUGUUGGGGGCAACUUGGCACGCAGUGUGGAAGCUAACGCGUUAAGUUUUCCCCCCGGGGAGAGUGGUCGCAAAAGUUAAAAUCUAAAGAAUUUACGGGGGGCCCCACAAAAGGGGGAGUAUGUGGUUUAAUUUGAUGCAAAGCGAAGAACCCUUCCCGGUCUUGACACGUGGAGAACUUUUCAGAGAUGGAUUGGGGCCUUUUGGAAAUCUAACACAGGGGUUGCAUGGCUGUGUUCUCCUCGUGUGUUGAGAUGUUGGGUUAAGUCCCCCAAAGAGAGCAACCCCUUUCUUUUGUGUCCAGCACGUAAUGGUGGGAACUUUAAGGAGGCCGCCGGUGACAAACCGGAGGAAGGUGGGGAAGAAGUCAAGUUAUCAUGGCCCUUACGGCCAAGGCUACCCACGUAGUUCAAUUGUAGGGACAGAGGGGUGCACACCCGGGAGGGCAAACCAAUCCCCGAAACCCUAUUUCAGUCCGGAUUGGCGUUUGCAACUUGACUCCAUGAAGUUGGAAUCCCUAGUAAUCGCAGAUCAGCAUUGCCGCGGUGAAUACGUUCCCGGGCCUUGUACACACCGCCCGUCACACCAUGGGAGUUUGUUGCACCAGAAGCAGGUAGUUUAACCUUCGGGAGGGCGGUGCCACGAGACAGAGCUCCGAACAAGG